UACGAAGGAUGCAAGCGUUAUCCGGAUUUAUUGGGUUUAAAGGGUGCGUAGGCGGGCUUAUAAGUCAGUGGUGAAAGCUUCCGGCUUAACCGGAAAAUUGCCAUUGAUACUGUAAGUCUUGAGUAUGGUUGAAGUGGGCGGAAUGUGCAGUGUAGCGGUGAAAUGCUUAGAUAUUGCACAGAACACCGAUUGCGAAGGCAGCUCGCUAAGCCAUAACUGACGCUGAGGCACGAAAGCAUGGGGAUCAAACAGG
rnacentral:rRNA from 1 species